AGUGAACGCUGGCGGUAGGCCUAACACAUGCAAGUCGAACGGCAGCACAGUAAGAGCUUGCUCUUACGGGUGGCGAGUGGCGGACGGGUGAGGAAUACAUCGGAAUCUACUUUUUCGUGGGGGAUAACGUAGGGAAACUUACGCUAAUACCGCAUACGACCUACGGGUGGAAGCAGGGGAUCUUCGGACCUUGCGCGAUUGAAUGAGCCGAUGUCGGAUUAGCUAGUUGGCGGGGUAAAGGCCCACCAAGGCGACGAUCCGUAGCUGGUCUGAGAGGAUGAUCAGCCACACUGGAACUGAGACACGGUCCAGACUCCUACGGGAGGCAGCAGUGGGGAAUAGUGGACAAUGGGCGCAAGCCUGAUCCAGCCAUACCGCGUGGGUGAAGAAGGCCUUCGGGUUGUAAAGCCCUUUUGUUGGGAAAGAAAAGCAGCAGGUUAAUACCCCGCUGUUCUGACGGUACCCAAAGAAUAAGCACCGGCUAACUUCGUG
rnacentral:rRNA from 1 species